UGCCUCCGGGCCCGCCUCCUUUGCGGGGGGCCCCGGUCCGGGUGGGGGCGGAACCGUCCCCUUCUCCCGGCUUCUCCCGGCUUCUCCCGGCUCCCAGGCCGGGUAGCUCCCGGUCCAGCUCGGAUCAAUGCCGCUGGGUCCAGUCUAACCCCAGGGGACAGGGCCACUCCAAAGGCAGGAGGGGCGUCAGGGUCCCCAGCUCCUUCCUCUAGGUGAGGGUGUGGACUGUGGUGAGGGCUUGGAGGGCAUCCUCAGCCACCUUUAGCCGGAAGAGGCUGCGGCCUCUGACUGCCACAUGCGGGUAGAGAGUAGGGCACGAACCGUCCGGUACCAUCUCCAGCGGGAAGGUGGGCCACCAGGGACCCGUCGCUAACGGGGCUCUCUCCGCUUUGGGGAGAAGGUUUGGGGACCAGUGCGUGUGGGGACUAGUCUGCCAUGGGUGUUCAAUACGCUGAGUCAAACCUGAUCUUUAACUGGGAGGGUUAGGACUUGGUUCCAGAACCUUCUGGAAGAAACGGGUACCAGUUCAUCAUGGGGGCAAAGUCUAGUCCUGGCUCACACAGAUCCGGGAGCUUGGAGCCAAGACAUCUCUGGGAAUUAAGAGAAUGUCUAUGGGGUGGUCCGAGUCCAUAAGAGUUUUUUUUUGGGAUGCCAGGCAGGGGGGGGGGUUUCAGGAGUAUUUCAGUGCCGAAAGGAGUCGGGCCAUCUUUUAUCAGCUGUGACCCCCACGGCAUGAAGGAGAAGGGACGUGAUUCUUAAUUAUCAAGGGACUGGGGAUGCAGAGCUCAUUUAACCCGAGCCCUUGCCUAGAGAUCAAGUCCUGGAGUCCUGUCCCCAGCACCAUGACUAACUAAACCAAAUAACCGUGAAGACUCUAGUUGGGACCAUCUGAGAUGAAGGAGUGCUCCUGGCCACCGGUCCAUCCUCUCCCCCCCACCCCAACCCGCAGUCUCUCGCGAUUCACACCUCUCUAGAGAAAGAAUGCAGGCAGAGAGAAGACAGCAAGAAUGAGGCUGUUGGGCCAGUGUGAUGGCUCCGGGAGGAAAGGAGCUGUGGCCAAGCCUGGUGAUGCAUUCAGUCUUUGGGACUCAUCAAAUUGUUUUCUCGUUGUCACACAUAGGCUGCGGCACUUACACACACAAACACAGAAUAAAUAAACGCAACUAA